UUUUUUCAUUCCAUCGUUUUUUUAUUUUCCGUUUUAUUAUUUUUUGCGUUCUAUUAUCUUUGCUCGUAGCCGUAUUACGUCGUCGAUUCGGGGGAGCGAGAUCGUCGUUCGUUGGGAAUUGCGCGUCUUUCUUCCUAAUCGCGCGACGAGAGAUUUCUUUUUGUAUCUCGUAUUUCGUUGAUCCGCGACUUCGUCUAUUCGAAAUAAGAAAAAAAGUUUUUUUGUUCCGUUCGUCAUCGCCACGACGAGGUGCGAAUACGCUAUUCAUUACGCAUGGAACACUAGAAGUUCAACCGCAACUACGAUAGGAGACUCGUCGUAUAUUCUAUUGACUUAAUAUUUUUUUUCUAAUAUAUUUUUGCUCCUCUUUUUUUGUUAGAGCGUUAAAUACGUUAUCUCGCCCGAUUUGUUCCCCGAAUUUUCGGAGUCGCGACGAAAGUAAUCUCGCUAUCACGUAUGCUUAUUAUACCCGUCGAUUCGAAAAAAAUGAGGAAAAAAAUUUUUUUUCGAAAUCGUGCAUUUUUUUUCCUAAAUCCGCGUGAGAGCGUUUCUUAUCGUUUACGCGUAUCCGUCGAUUAAUGCGUUAGAAAAAAAUUCUCGUCAGUUUUUCUUUAGACGUGGUGUCACGAUGAACUUCUUUAGAUGCUUUAUCACAAUGAACGACGGGGAAGUGAAAGUGUGUACCAUACAGUAUAGUAUUAAACGAGUGGAUAGUAGCGAAUAGGCGUACGAUGCUUGUUCGAGAUUUAAAAAUUAAUAGCACGUUUUAUCUAACGUUAAAGGGGGACGAGUUACAAAACACGAAUUGCUAUCGGUACCAUUAGUCUUACGCGGUUGCAUGGGAGAUGAAUUUUUGGAAAAGGAUAAUUUUCACAGAGUAGCUUUGUAUGAGGCGAUUAAACAUUAAAAGAUAUAUUCAACACAUGGAUCCAAUUGAAAUGGAUCCAAUUGAAGAGACCAUGGUUUCGUCAGCACAUGUGCGAUAUUUGGUAUGAAGACAAAGAACGGGAACAAUAUCUAUGAUGUCGAUUUGUUGGAUGGGGAUCUAUUCAAUCUAAGAUCCCUUUUCGAUAUAGAACCGUUCGAACUGGAAUACUGGGAUUAAGAAAACAUUUAUUCAUAUUUGCAUGUAUACACAUUUUAUAUCUAUGCA